CUUAAUUGUGCUUACCUCUAUAAAAGCCGAGUUUUUAGUAGCUGUCUUGCGGGAACACCCAAGAUUAAAUAAUUGUUAUUUAAGUCCUGGUAAAUAAAAACGUCAUUAGGAACACCUGCACAUUCAUGCAGUCAUCUAAUCUGGAAGCAGUGCAUAACAAAAAACCAUAAGUUACAUCACAGGAGCUACAAGCUAUGUUCAAAUCAUCAACCACCAUAACGAGAAAAAAAAAUACCUGAAUUGAACCAUUGCAUAGAUGUUAACAAAUAGGCUGGUUUGAGUAUUUAAGAAGCUGCUUUUUGCCAACGAUUGCCUUAGUUCCUUGUUCUGCCCUGAAAGGUGUUGAACCUACUGUAAUGUGCUCUUUUGUUGUUGUAGACCAACCACCUCAAGGUACAGUAUGAUGUGUUUUGCCUUCUGAGAUGCUCAUAAUGCUUGUAAUGAGUAAUUAUGUAAAUUAUUUGUCAGCUAAAAUAAUCCUCUAAACUUGCUCAUCAUUAUGGUGUUUCAGCCUGCAGAUCCCCUGUUUACAGGAUUUGCUUUUGUUUUUCACAGUGUAAAUUCUGGUAACAGCUUUGUGUGGAAAAUCCAGGAGGUCUGCAGAGUCGGAAAUACUAAAACCAUCUAGUACCAACAAUCACGACUCCUCCAGAUGAACGAAGCUGCCUGCGUCUGCUGAGCUUGUGCCAUGCUCCUGGGUCAAUCACUCUCCCUACCCUCACUGGGACUAUAUACAGUAUAUAGUAUAGCACAGUGGUCCCUAACCCCCGGGCCGCAGACUGGUCCGUGGAUCAAAUGGUAACGGGCCGCCCAAGGAACAUUCAAUUAUCUCCAUUUUAUUUAUCGUGGUGUAUUUCUCUCGGGUUUGUGCGACUUUCCAUGGACGAGAGGUUAACCGGGAGCUGAGAGACGUCACCUAAAGCCGCACCAAUACCACGCAUGCGCAAAACAUCGUGAUAUCGGGGAGGUUUAAGGUGACGUCUGGAGCUGAGCGGCUGCGAGCGGCAGUGGCGUUGUAGCUUUGGUGGAGAGAAGGCAUCAUCAGGCGCCAGGCAUCAUCGGGCGUCAUCUCAGGUGUCAUCGGGCAUCAAGGCAG